GAUGAACGCUGGCGGCGUGCCUAAUACAUGCAAGUCGAGCGAACAGACGAGGAGCUUGCUCCUCUGACGUUAGCGGCGGACGGGUGAGUAACACGUGGAUAACCUACCUAUAAGACUUGGAUAACUUCGGGAAACCGGAGCUAAUACCGGAUAAUAUAUUGAACCGCAUGGUUCAAUAGUUAAAUACGGUUUUGCUGUCACUUAUAGAUGUAUCCGCGCCGCAUUAGCUAGUUGGUAAGGUAACGGCUUACCAAGGCAACGAUUCGUAGCCGACCUGAGAGGGUGAUCGGCCACACGGGAACUGAGACACGGUCCAGACUCCUACGGGAGGCAGCAGUAGGGAAUCUGCCGAAAUGGGAGAAAGCAUGACGGAGAAACGCCGCGUGAGUGAUGAAGGUCUUCGGAUCGUAAAACUCUGUUAUUAGGGAAGAAAAAAUGUGUAAGUAACUAUGAACGUCUUGACGGUACCUAAUCAGAAAGCAACGGCUAACUACGUG
rnacentral:rRNA from 1 species